rnacentral:rRNA from 1 species
AUUGAACGCUGGCGGCAGGCCUAACACAUGCAAGUCGAGCGAGCGGCGGACGGGUGAGUAAUGUAUGGGGACUGCCCGAUAGAGGGGUAUAACUACUGGAAACGGUGGCUAAUACCGCAUACUAUCCUUUACCCCCUAUGGGAUUAGCUAGUGGGUGGGGUAAAGGCUCACCUAGGCGACGAUCUCUAGCUGGGCUGAGAGGAUGAUCAGCCAAACUGGGACUGAGACACGGCCCAGACUCCUACGGAGGCAGCAGUGGGGAAUCUUGCACAAUGGGCGCAAGCCUGAUACAGCCAUGCCGCGUGUAUGAAGAAGGUCUUAGGGUUGUAAAGUACUGUCAGCGGGGAGGCGUUACCUGAAGAAGAAGCACCGGCUAACUCCGUGCCAGCAGCCGCGGUAAUAC